AGAGCUAUUAAGGAGGUAAAAUUGGCAGGUCAUGGUAAUUAAUUAGAUGUGAGGGGUGAGUGAGAGGGAGAGGGAGGAGUGAAGGUUUCUAGCUUGAGAGCCUGGCUGGAUGGUGGGCUUGCCCCUUGAUAAAUGAAACUGGCAGAAGAGUGGCCUCCCCCAGGUUAACAGCUACCACCCUCAGGAAGCCGUGCCUGGUUCUUGCCAGCUGGAAGUCAUCACCCCUCUUCUGAUCGGUCCUUGCACAGCAUCUCCCUCGAGCUCCAGCAGCGGGAACCCAGCUACACCUGGUCAUCCCCUUUCUUCCUGCUUAGCACAGCCUGGCAACGAGGGCGAAGGAAGCAGGUCUCCCAGUGGCCCGGCUGGUAUUUGGGGUUCAAGCCCAGCACAGUCCCACAUCUGGAUCCCGUUAGCUUGCCGCGUUCCUUCUUGGCCAGGAAGAAUGUGUGCAACGCCGGAGGAGCUGCUGGACUGCGGGCUUGCUGCUCCGACUAGGCUAUCAAAGCAGAGUGGCGGGCAGCCGGCCCCUGGGGAGGGGCUUCCCCGGCUCUCCAUCAUCGCGCCGCCGCCGCCACCGGUAGCUCCGGGGUGGAGCAGGGCCCUUUCAGCAGGCGCUCGCUGCUGCAUAGGAGCGAGCCAGGCGGUUGGGCUGCGCCCGGGCAGGCCCGCUGCUUCUGAUUAAAGGCUCACCCACUGCUCCUGCCCCACCACCCUUCCCCCGCAGCCAGCCGGAGCAGACAGGAGCCGCCCAGAUGCUCCCCCAAAUCCCAGGCUGUGGAUGGGGAAGGGGCCCUCCACCCCUAGUCAGGACAGGCGGAGCUGACCUCUGCAGAACUCUACCGGCUUUGGAAAGAGGGGACCGGUUUUCUCCUUCCAAAUCUUUUUAGGGUCCCCUCUCUGAAGAGCUGCAGCCGUAACCAGCCUUAGUUAGAGGCAGUUAUUAAAAAACAAUACCGAGGCCUGUGCAGUCUUUUACAGCCCAGCACAGUGACUAAGAAUGAAGGUUCUGGAGCCAGGUUUCCUGGGUUUAAAUCUGGGCUCUGCUACUUCUUAGUCCUGUGACUUGGGGCAAGUUACUUAGUCUCUCUGUGCCUUAGGUCUCCCUCAAACCCUCAGUGAAAUCUCAAGAACAAUAGGUCCCUAGGUAACAGCACUGCUGUGAGCCUUAAAUGAGUUAACACUCAUAAAGUGCUUAGAAUAGUGCCUGGCCCAUCGGAGUGCCCAGUAAAUUAUUAUUGUUACAAAGUUUGUUUACAUCCAUUGACUCGUUGGAGCCUGGAGCAACCCUGUGACCUGGGGAUUGCCCAGGAAAACUAGAGAGGAGAAGGCCUUACCCCAAGUCACACAGCCAUAGGGGCAGGG
rnacentral:lncRNA from 1 species